rnacentral:misc_RNA from 1 species
ACCUCAGUUAUCUGUUACAUUUCGCAGAAAGCAGACAGUUUACACAAAUUCCCAACAUAUUAACUGUCAAACCGGACCAACAAGGCUGCAAUACUGUACAAUACAGUCGUGCCGGUUCAAGAAUGUCUAAAGAAAGCGAUUCCAACCGGUGCUUUCUGUGUUUUAAAUCUUCAACGCUAGAGUGCUCUGAAUGCAGGUUGGUUUAUGCGUGCAGUACAAAACAUCUCAAGGAGCAUAGAAAUGGAGACUUUUGCUCUCCGUUCAGGGUUGAGUUCAGAGACGAUGUUGGGAGGUAUUUAGUAUCAACCAGGAAUAUUAAGAAGAAAGAGUUAAUUUUAACAGAGCCCCCGUUUGUGACCGGACCGUCCCUAGGGAGGGGCCUGGUUUGUGCUGAAUGCUUGAAAUCUAUCAAGAUCUCGGUUCCCUGCUUCUCCUGCAAUAUUCCACUCUGUAACCAAUCCUGUGGAGACAAGGCAAACCACAGGUUGGAAUGCCAGUACUUCCAGAAUCCCCUACUUCAGGGUGCACUCGGAGAAAGUGAUAAUGCUCAAACCGUUCUGGACAUAAUUCUUCCUUUAAGAUAUCUUCUGAAAUCUGAAUAUUUACAGCAAACUGUCACGGAUCUGAGUAAAGGAGAACCUUGGCCUGAACCUGAAACCAGCAGUGGGUUAAAACAGGUUCUCUGCCUCGAGGAGCACAGGGAGCUGCUCCAGGACUGUAUGAGAAUAGUGUUCACUAACUCUAAAUCUCUGGUGGAUAUUGGGCUCACGGGUUCAGCAGUUUAUAAUGUCUACUCUCUCAUGAACCAUAGCUGUGUUCCAAACACAAAUCUAAGCAUAGCUAAGGAUCUAAGUAUCCGGGUAGUGUCGAAUACAGAUAUUGGAGCUGGUACUGAGAUCAGUACUAGAUAUGGAGGAUUAAAUAUUGGGCAACCAAGGAGAUCCGAGCUUCUCUACCAACACUGGAGGUUCAGGUGCAAAUGCUCUAGGUGUGAGGAUCCUACGGAGCUCGAGACUAGAACUAGUGGGAUUUUGUGUCAGGUUCAAGACUGCUCCGGGUACAUUCUUCCAUACACGUCUUUACUCUGGAGGUGUGAAACCUGCCAGGGGAUCUCUGGGUUAGAUUAUGUUCUCCGGGUUAUCAGGAAAGCUGAGAGUAACAUCAAGAACAAUCUGGGAGGAGAACCUGACUCCGGGAUCCUGGAGAAAACUAUUUCCGUCCUGGAAACCUCGCUUCAUCCAAACCAUUAUCUAAUAUCACAGUAAAUGUAACACUGGGACGUGUUCUCCGUAUUCUAAUCCCGGUCUGGAGCCAGGCAAAUAAACAGGAUUUUGAAUCAGGCA